AGAGAGAGACAUGCGCGCAUAUCAAUAAGCGGAGGAAAAGAAACUAACUAAGGAUUCCCUCAGUAACGGCGAGUGAAGCGGGAAGAGCUCAAAUUUGAAAUCUUCAAGGUUUUACCUUGACGAAUUGUAGUUUAAAGAAGUGUUUUCUGCUGAAGUUUUGGUAAAAGUUCUUUGGAAUAGGGACAUCAUAGAGGGUGAGAAUCCCGUAUUUGACCAUUAUUUUCAGCUUUGUGAUACACUUUCAAAGAGUCGGAUUGUUUGGGAAUGCAGUCCAAAAUGGGUGGUAAAUUUCAUCUAAAGCUAAAUAUUGGCGAGAGACCGAUAGCGAACAAGUACCGUGAGGGGAAGAUGAAAAGAACUUUGAAAAGAGAGUUAAACAGUACGUGAAAUUGUCAAAAGGGAAGCGUUUGACACCAGUGUUGUUUUCUCGAAAAUCAAUUAAAAAUGGCUCGAUUUUGUAUUGUUGAGACCUUAAAAGCUCACUGUACAUUUUUCGUGUCUUUUUUAAUGCACUUUUCGUUUAACAAGUCAACAUCAGUUUCUUUUGUUGUAAAAGGGUCAUUGGAAGGUGGCUUUCUUUUCGGAGAAAGUGUUUAUAGCCUUUGGCCUCUGCAAUCGAAGAGACUGAGGUCUGCAGCGUAGACUCUUCGGGGUUAGAUACAUUUGUGCUAAGUUAUAGCUUUUUAUAGACAACUUGUUGACUAUAAUUAGUCUUGUAGCUUACUCGCUUAUGCUAUUUUACCUACGCUUAGGAUGUUGAAGUCAUCGUAUCGCGC
rnacentral:rRNA from 1 species